CUUUGUAUGUGUGUUUGUUUGUGUGGGGGCCAGUGCAGCUCCGCGCUCUCCCUCUCUCGGUGGCAGCUCCUCGGGACGCUCUACACACUGUCUCCUCUUGAUAACUUAAGCAAAGGCUGAAGGAAAGUUUGCCCUUACUGUCUGCUGUAGAGGUAGAAGACACUCUUGGAGAAAGCACCAGUUUAAGCAAAAAAGGAAAAAAAAUAGAAAAUUAUUCCUGGUCAUAAAGCAACGAGGUAACAGACUCCAAAGAAAUGCUGGUGAUGCUGGAAUUGAUUUCAUACACCUCUCCAGUUCAAGGCUGAAAUUAGGAAGUCUUUUUAAGGCCUGGAAGAGGC